rfam:Arabis alpina cultivar Pajares chromosome 8, whole genome shotgun sequence.
AAUCCAUGGUGAGGACAACCCCUCUAAUAACCCUUGAAACGUUCCCUUGAAACGUUGAAUGAUUCGGUUGGACCCUGAACGAACAAGGAGAUCUUGGCUCUCAAAUC